GGACUACCAGGGUUUCUAAUCCCGUUUGCUCCCCUGGCUUUCGCGCCUCAGCGUCAGAAGAGGUCCAGCACGUCGCUUUCGCCACCGGCGUUCCUUCCGAUAUCUACGCAUUUCACCGCUCCACCGGAAGUUCCACAUGCCCCUACCUCCCUCAAGACGACCAGUAUCCAGGGCUAUUCUCCAGUUGAGCUGGAGUAUUUCACCCCGGACUUGAUCACCCGCCUACGCGCCCUUUAAGCCCAGUGAAUCCGAACAACGUUCGCACGGUUCGUCUUACCGCGGCGGCUGGCAC
rnacentral:rRNA from 3 species